AGUGAACGCUGGCGGUAGGCCUAACACAUGCAAGUCGAACGGCAGCACAGUACUAGCUUGUUCUUACGGGUGGCGAGUGGCGGACGGUUGAUGAAUACCUCGGAAUCUACUUUUUCGUGGGGGCUAACGUAGGGACACUUACGCUAAUACCGCAUACGACCUACGGGUGAAAGCAGGGGAUCUUCCGCCCUUGCGCGAUUGUAUGACCCGAUGUCGGAUUAGCUAGUUGGCGGGGUAAAGGCCCACCAAGGCGACGAUCCGUAGCUGGUCUGAGAGGAUGAUCAGCCACACUGGAACUGAGACACGGUCCAGACUCCUACGGGAGGCAGCAGUGGGGAAUAUUGGACAAUGGGCGAAAGCCUGAUCCAGCCAUACCGCGUGGGUGAAGAAGGCCUUCGGGUUGUAAAGCCCUUUUGUUGGGAAAGAAAAGCAGCAAGUUAAUACCCCGCUGUUCUGACGGUACCCAAAGAAUAAGCACCGGCUAACUUCGUG
rnacentral:rRNA from 1 species